GAUGAACGCUGGCGGCGUGCCUAAUACAUGCAAGUCGAGCGAAGCGGGGACGGGUGAGUAACACGUGGAUAACCUCCUAUAAGACUGGGAUAACUUCGGGAAACCGGAGCUAAAACGGAAUCUUAUAGCUGGAUCGGGGUUGGAUUAGCUGGUUGGUAAGGUAACGGCUUACCAAGGCAACGAUGCAUAGCCGACCUGAGAGGAUGAUCGGCCACACUGGAACUGAGACACGGUCCAGACUCCUACGGGAGGCAGCAGUAGGGAAUAUUCCGCAAUGGGCGAAAGCCUGACGGAGCAACGCCGCGUGAGUGAUGAAGGUCUUCGGAUCGUAAAACACUGUUAUUAGGGAAGCGGUACCUAAUCAGAAAGCCACGGCUAACUACGUGCCAGCAGCCGCGGUAAUUC
rnacentral:rRNA from 1 species